rnacentral:rRNA from 1 species
UACGUAGGGGGCAAGCGUUGUCCGGAAUCAUUGGGCGUAAAGCGCGCGUAGGCGGCCCGGUAAGUCCGUUGUGAAAGUCAAAGGCUCAACCGUUGAACGCCGAUGGAUACUGCCGGGCUAGAGUCCGGAAGAGGCGAGUGGAAUUCCUGGUGUAGCGGUGGAAUGCGCAGAUAUCAGGAGGAACACCAAUAGCGAAGGCAGCUCGCUGGGACGGUACUGACGCUGAGGCGCGAAAGCGUGGGGAGCGAACAGG